rnacentral:pre_miRNA from 1 species
AGCUGCUGGCCACUGCACAAGAUUAGUAUAUACUCUUGUGCGUGUGACAGCGGCUAU